UCCGCAUCCAGUGCCACUCGGCAGCUUACAAGCUGCUUCAGGAGCAGUAAACGUUCACGGUGCGGUGCAAGUGAACUCAGCAACUCGUACGCCGCAGGCGACGGCUCAGCUGACCGGCGCGCCUACUGCCUGCGAACGCACGUGUAACAACCCACUGCUGGGCAUAGGCCUCUUUCUUCAUGCAGAAUAAAGAUUGGAGCAUAAUCCACACUCCACUCCACUCCACACUAUAAUAAUAUUAGUACAAAUAUAGAUAGAAGCCUGCACACAAGUCUCAUCUCCGGUUGUUUUACUCGACGAUAUUCAGCGGACACUCUUCAAUACUUCUCGGAGCUCCCACAAGGAAGCCGGUAACUGGAAACGGCAUUUGUAUUUACGUCUUCCGAGGACAUCGACGCUGAUUAAAUUACUUCCAACUCUGAAAUAAAAUGCAAAUACAAAAA